ensembl:lncRNA
GCCAGGUGUAAGAAUAGUAGAAUACGCCAGGUGUAAGAAUAGUAGAAUACGCCAGGUGUAAGAAUAAUAGAAUACGCCAGGUGUAAGAAUAGUAGAAUACGCCAGGUGUAAGAAUAAUAGAACACGCCAGGUGUAAGAAUAAUAGAACACGCCAGUUGUAAGAAUAGUAGAAUACGCCAGGUGUAAGAAUAGUAGAAUACGCCAGGUGUAAGAAUAGUAGAAUACGCCAGGUGUAAGAAUAGUAGAAUACGCCAGGUGUAAGAAUAGUAGAAUACGCCAGGUGUCAGAAUAGUAGAAUACGCCAGGUGUCAGAAUAGUAGAAUAUGCCAGGUGUCAGAAUAGUAGAAUAUGCCAGGUGUAAGAAUAGUAGAAUACGCCAGGUGUAAGAAUAAUAGAACCCGCCAGGUGUAAGAAUAAUAGAACACGCCAGGUGUAAGAAUAGUAGAACACGCCAGGUGUAAGAAUAAUAGAACACGCCAGGUGUAAGAAUAGUAGAAUACGCCAGGUGUAAGAAUAGUAGAACACGCCAGGUGUAAGAAUAAUAGAACCCGCCAGGUGUAAGAAUAAUAGAACACGCCAGGUGUAAG